AAAACAAAAACUUUGGGAUAACUUCAGGAAACUGGAGCUAAUACCGGAUAGGAGCUCCUGCUGCAUUGAGUGGGUUGGAAAGUUUCGUAGUGUGGGGAUGGACUCGCGGCUUAUCAGCUUGGUGGUGGUGUAGUGGCUUCCCAAGGCUUUGACGUGUCGCCGGCCUGAGAGGCGGACGGGCCACAUUGUGACUGAGAUACGGCCCAGAUUCCUACGGGAGGCAGCAGUGGGGAAUAGUGAACAAUGGGCGGUAUUCUGAUGCAGCACCGCCGCCUGCGGGAUGAAGACUCGUU
rnacentral:rRNA from 1 species